AUAUACUCACCCAGUCAGAGCAUUCAACUCGGACCGAGUCAAUAUUGAUUGAGAGGCGUCCGCCAUGUUCAUUCAAAUCUAGAGCUCCAAUUCGUCCGAGCCGGCCUCGUAGACAUGGCUAGGGUUUACGACAAUUGGGAGCGGCUGGUGCGGGCCACACUAAAGAGGGAGCAGCUCAGAAGUUCCGGCCAAGGCCACGAGAGGGUUCCUAGUGGAAUCGCCGGCGCUGUCCCACCAUCGCUGGGAAAGAGCACGAACAUCGAUGCGAUCUUACAAGCUGCCGAUGCGAUUCAUGCUGAGGACCCCAACGUCUACAGGAUUUGCAUAUAGUAUGGCGCCAAAUCUGGAUCCAAAAAGUGAUGGUAGAGGUGUUCUUCAGUUUAAGACUGGCAAAAAUUUGCAAAAAGGGAUGGGGGUCAAAUAGAUCGUAAUCGUGAUAUUGAGCACCCUUGGGACUUUUACCAGCGGUACAAACAAGGACAUAAAGUAGAUGAUAUCCAGAGACAGGAACAAAGAUGACGUGAAUCUGGAACUUUUAGUGCUGACUUUGGCGAUUAUUUAGAAAUGAAAAAGAUGAUUGCUACCUUGAGGGCUUUAGUUGAGGUGAUGGAGGCACUUAGCAAAUAUGCAGAUCCAAAUGGAGUUGGAAGACUUAUUAUGGAGGAGUUUAUGAUAACAAUAUUGGCCCUCUUGAAGCACCAUCAUUGACCAAUGCCAUUGGAGUUUUCCCGGAAGUGAGAGGUGCAAUAUCUGCAAUUAGGUAUACUGAGCAAUUCCCCAGACUUCCUGCUGCUUUUGAGAUAUCUGGACAACGAGAUGCUGACAUGUUUGAUCUGUUGGAAUGUGUGUUUGGUUUUCAGAAAGACAACGUAACGAAUCAGAGAGAAAACGUUCUUCUUACAGUUGCAAAUGCACAAUCUCGGCUUGGUGUACCUGUUGAGGCUGAUCCAGUGAGUGAACAUGUCAUUAUUGUUACAUGGGCUACUGAUUAUCCUUCUUGUAUUCAUGUGAAUGAACAUGUCAUUAUUUGUUACACCUGUUACGUUUCCAUUUACUUAAAUCUAAAUUUUGAGUGAACGGUUUUCCACA